rnacentral:rRNA from 1 species
GAUGAACGCUGGCGGCGUGCCUAAUACAUGCAAGUCGAGCGAACGGACGAGAAGCUUGCUUCUCUGAUGUUAGCGGCGGACGGGUGAGUAACACGUGGAUAACCUACCUAUAAGACUGGGAUAACUUCGGGAAACCGUAGCUAAUACCGGAUAAUAUUUUGAACCGCAUGGUUCAAAAGUGAAAGACGGUCUUGCUGUCACUUAUAGAUGGAUCCGCGCUGCAUUAGCUAGUUGGUAAGGUAACGGCUUACCAAGGCAACGAUGCAUAGCCGACCUGAGAGGGGGAGCGGCCACAGUAGAGGUGAGACGGGCCCAAGCCCCCGGGGGGAGGGGCAAGGGGGCAUUCUUCCGAAAGGGCGGAGGACCGGCGGGACCACCGCGGGGGGAGGAAGAAAGUUUUAGGAAUCUAAACCCUGUUUUAUGGGAGAAAAACAUAUGUGUAAGAAACUGUACCCUUCUGGACGGUACCUAAUAAAAAACCCAGGCCAAACUAGGAC